rnacentral:rRNA from 1 species
AUUGAACGCUGGCGGCAGGCUUAACACAUGCAAGUCGAGCGGGGUGAUGGUGCUUGCACUAUCACUUAGCGGCGGACGGGUGAGUAAUGCUUAGGAAUCUGCCUAUUAGUGGGGGACAACAUCUCGAAGGGGAUGCUAAUACCGCAUACGUCCUACGGGAGAAAGCAGGGGAUCACUUGUGACCUUGCGCUAAUAGAUGAGCCUAAGUCGGAUUAGCUAGUUGGUGGGGUAAAGGCCUACCAAGGCGACGAUCUGUAGCGGGUCUGAGAGGAUGAUCCGCCACACUGGGACUGGGACACGGCCCAGACUCCUACGGGAGGCAGCAGUGGGGAAUAUUGGACAAUGGGGGGAACCCUGAUCCAGCCAUGCCGCGUGUGUGAAGAAGGCCUUAUGGUUGUAAAGCACUUUAAGCGAGGAGGAGGCUCUUUUGGUUAAUACCCAAGAUGAGUGGACGUUGCUCGCAGAAUAAGCACCGGCUAACUCUGUGCCAGCCGCCGCCGUAA